rnacentral:rRNA from 1 species
GAUGAACGCUAGCGGCAGGCCUAACACAUGCAAGUCGAGGGGUAGAACACUUCGGUGUUUGAGACCGGCGCACGGGUGCGUAACGCGUAUGCAAUCUACCUUGUACAGGGGAAUAGCCCAGAGAAAUUUGGAUUAAUGCCCCAUAGUAUAUAACCUUCGCAUGUUGGUUAUAUUAAAGUUCCAACGGUACAAGAUGAGCAUGCGUCCCAUUAGUUAGUUGGUAAGGUAACGGCUUACCAAGACGAUGAUGGGUAGGGGUCCUGAGAGGGAGAUCCCCCACACGGGCACUGAGACACGGGCCCGACUCCUACGGGAGGCAGCAGUAAGGAAUAUUGGUCAAUGGACGCAAGUCUGAACCAGCCAUGCCGCGUGGAGGAUGAAGGUCCUCUGGAUUGUAAACUUCUUUUAUCUGGGACGAAAAAAGGCUUUUCUAAGUCGACUGACGGUACCAGAUGAAUAAGCACCGGCUAACUCCGUGCCAGCCGCCGCAGUAAUAC